AUGGCGACCGGCGCACGGGUGAGUAACGCGUAUCCAACCUGCCCUUUACUAUGGGACAGCCCGUCGAAAGGCGGAUUAAUACCGUAUGUUGUCAUGUUGAUGCAUAUUUUCAUGACCAAAGGCUUCGGCCGGUAAAGGAUGGGGAUGCGUCUGAUUAGCUUGCCGGCGGGGUAACGGCCCACCGGGGCGACGAUCAGUAGGGGUUCUGAGAGGAGGGUCCCCCACAUUGGAACUGAGACACGGUCCAAACUCCUACGGAAGGCAGCAG
rnacentral:rRNA from 1 species